AAGAAGUCGAAUACAAAGGUAUUACACCCACAAAAUAAUAACGAAUCAUAGUCAAAACUACCAAGGAAUGACCCACAGUAGGGAUGAUCCAGCACUGCACAGUAAAAAACUUACAGACGAACCUCUGCUACUUUCUACCAAAUGUCACAUUGAUAGCAAAACUGUCCAUAUUGUACUUGUGACAACCAUCGAACGUGAAGAACGGACUAGGUAAGCUGAAGAGGGUAAUGAAAGGGUCUCGACCAGUAUUUUGAUCCUGGCUUGCGUGGCCGGUGAAACCCUAUCCAGUUGGUGUACCUAUAAGCGUCUAAUAUUGGAAAAAGCCAAGUGGAGAGGGCUGUAAACUAGUCUCGUGCAAACGUGAGAAAAUGCGGAGAAAAUGACGACUCCGGCACUUCCUGCCGUUAGUGGGAAAGAUAGGAUGGUCAAAUUAGUACGGCACUAUUCCGAAUGCACCAUAACUGUCCACUCCGCCAGUGAGGUACAUUAAAAAAGUAGAUUGCAACGACGAUUGCAACGUUGGUUGCUAUGCCGUUGCUUUACGAGGUGUAGUGUAUGCCAAUGCUAAGAGGAAAUGGCAAGAGUGGAGACUUUUGCGGUAAAGGUAGAUUAAAGAGAUCUAUUAGACGCAUCCUUACAAAAUCUUAUCGUAGUUCGUAGGGAGGCGAUAUAAGAUGAAUUGAUUUUCUAGUUGUUGUUGUUGUUGUUCAACUGUACUGCAAGCCGCUAAGGUAGGCCAAGGAUGAACCGUGUAAAGACUCGUAAAGAUACCUAUAAGGAAGAGAGGGAAGAUAAUAGUUAAGAGAGAGAAGAGUAUACAACGAUAGUUAUAUCACUAUUGAGAAAUAACAGAGCGUAGUAACCCGAGACAAGUAUAAACAAACCAGAAAAUGAUAUGAAGAGAUGAGACGAGAUGAUCCAAAAAGG